rnacentral:rRNA from 1 species
UACAGAGGCCUCAAGCGUUGUUCGGAAUCACUGGGCGUAAAGGGUGUGUAGGUUGCUUGGUAAGUCAUCUGUGAAAGAUUCGGGCUCAACCUGGAAAUUGCAGAUGAUACUGCUUAGCUAGAGAUUCAAAGAGGGGGUUGGAAUUCACGGAGUAGCAGUGAAAUGCGUAGAGAUCGUGAGGAACACCAAAGGCGAAGGCAGGCCCCUGGGGGAAUUCCGACACUGAGACACGAAGGCCAAGGUAGCAAACGGG